GUGUCAGCAGCCGCGGUAAUACGGAGGGUGCGAGCGUUAUCCGGAUUUAUUGGGUUUAAAGGGUCCGCAGGCGGAUUUGUAAGUCAGGGGUGAAAUCCGGCAGCUUAACUGUCGAAUUGCCUUUGAUACUGCAGAUCUUGAGUGAGGUUGAAGUAGCUGGAAUGUGUAGUGUAGCGGUGAAAUGCAUAGAUAUUACACAGAACACCAAUUGCGUAGGCAGGUUACUAAGUCUCAACUGACGCUGAGGGACGAAAGCGUGGGUAGCGAACAGGAUUAGAUACCCUGGUAGUCCACGCCGUAAACGAUGGAUACUGUCUGUUGGGGCGCGAGCUUCAGUGGAUAAGCGAAAGUGAUAAGUAUCCCACCUGGGGAGUACGUUCGCAAGAAUGAA
rnacentral:rRNA from 1 species